CCAAGUGAUCCAGGGGCCUCUUCAGCUGCCUGUCCGGUGGCCGGGCGCUCCUAAGACCCUCUGCCCCCUCCCCACCAGGAGCGUGGCCAGAAAAUACAGAGCGUAGUAUAUCCCACUGAGGUGAAACAGCAUUUGAAGAGGAACUGAGGAGAGCUGGAGGUGCACAGCCCCUGUCCCGAGGACCCCUCCGGCUGGUAUCUGAAAGAGGAUGUGACCUGGGCCAGACUGCAUCUUUGAGGCAGAGCCAUGGACUCUCAAGUGGGCAGGAGUCACAGAAGUGACCACGGUGACAGUAGCCAACGUGGGCGCCUCUGCAGACAAUGUCUUUACAACCUCAGUGGCAAAUGCUGCAUCC